rnacentral:misc_RNA from 1 species
UCUGGAGACACUGAAUCCACAAUUCCCUAAUCCACCAGAAACAAAUGGCCUACUUGACAUGGGGAGCUCCAACCUACUCUUGCUCACAGAGCAUGGGCCCACAUCAUGACUUUCAUCAACUUUAUUCAAAUCAAGAUCAAGUCCACCACCUCGAUCACAAGGCCCAGAUUCAACACUUGCUUUCUGUGGUAUAUUUGAAAGACUAACUUCUUCUAGGAGUCUCUGGUCUGG